GGAAGAACUUUAUGCCUGUCUCUCCUUCCUGGUAUCGCAAAUGCUCUCCUCUUCUCAUCUCCUCCCCUUCCUGAGACACGGCCUAAGCAGAGAUUCUAUUUCUUCUAAGAGAAAUAUUACCUCCAAAUUUGGAACUAGUGGGUGGCAAGGCCCAGGAAAUUCCACCCUGGGACUGGAAAACUGGCUCCUGGCAGAUGGAGAAAGGCCAGGAGGACCCAGAGGCUCUGGAGGUUGAGACAGAGGGACAGGAGGGGAAGGGGAGACCUAGUGUUCCUCCCCCACCCCCCACCCUUCCAUCUCUGAUCUGUGAGAUCGUCUUCACUUCUUCAGACACUGGGGCUGACAAGUGUGGGAAAUUGAAGCCGGAGAUUGAUCAAACGGUGCCUUUCGAGAGCCCUAAGAGAAGGAACAGCAGCUCAACCACUGAUCUAAUCAAAUUAUUCAGCAUUAAGAACUGCCAAGACAUUCCAGGACUUCAGCUCCCGGAGCCCCGGCUGGGAUCAAAUGCUAACCAACGUCGCUGCGAUAUUUAUUCCCACUGUCAGCUGCUGGUUGCUUGUUUUCCGAGAGCUGCAUACUAAACCAGAGGCCCGGGAGGGACGGGAACGAGGGUGAGGGGCUGUCUGGAAGGAGCGCAAGCAGGUAGGCAGGACAAAUGCCCCCCCCCCCCAACCCGGCACAGGGCCCCUAACUGCCCGUCAAAAUGUCCCAAUCUGUCUCUAAUCCCUCCCUAAAAUGUCCCCAGACGACUGUCCUCCAUUCCCAUUUCAAGCCCUUUUCAGGACAGUUAACUGAGGUUUUGAGCUGAGACAAUUUCCUUGGAAGUCUGCACGAGUGACCCCAGGAGGGUACCUGGCCCUCUCUGAGCUCCCGCUCCGUCCCCUGUAACAUGGGUUCCACUUCCUGUGGGUUUGAUGAGAGGAAGAAAAUAAUGGGAGUGGUUUGUGGGGCCCACUGCGGUGACACUGAGAGCAGCCCUGGCUGUGUGACUUUGCCAAAGCUACUCACCCUCUCUGUGUCUCAGUUUGUACCUCCAUAAAAAUGGACAUGGUGAUGAGAGUCAACCCCUGGUGGUGGGGGAUGCGGAGGACUGUCUCAUGGUUAAAGAAAAUCAAAUAUGAAUGGCCCACAGGGAACAGUCCUUGUGUAAUGGCGAGGAGUGGGGUGGAUGAAAUAAAUAGUGGGUACGGGUCAACAGAUCCUGUCAGUGAGUGAAGAGGCCGGCCGGGUGCUGGGAUCCCCAUGAGGGGUCUCUGUAGUCACACACAGUGGAGCAUUCUGGGAGUUCAAGGUCAGAGGUCAUUCUUCCCCUGAAGGACAGCUGCAGCCAAGCAGAGGGACUAUGAGCCUUGGGGAUGUGUGUCCCUGGCCAACUCCCUGAAGGUCAUGGCAACCAGGGAAGACUAAUUAAUUUCCUUUGUUUUCCAGUUUCAUUUUUUUUUCAAAUUACAGACCCCCACCCCUCUAAUAAAUACUCAACAAUUAAAGCGUUUUUUUCCUUCC
rnacentral:lncRNA from 1 species